CGGACGGGUGAGUAACGCGUAGGAAUCUACCUGGCAGUGGGGGACAACAUGGGGAAACCCAUGCUAAUACCGCAUACGCCCCAAGGGGGAAAGCGGGGGACCUUCGGGCCUCGCGCUAUCAGAUGAGCCUGCGUAGGAUUAGCUUGUUGGUGAGGUAAAGGCUCACCAAGGCGACGAUCCUUAGCUGGUCUGAGAGGAUGAUCAGCCACGCUGGAACUGAGACACGGUCCAG
rnacentral:rRNA from 1 species